rnacentral:pre_miRNA from 1 species
UCUAUAACUUCAUUUAUAGGUUGAACACCAAAUAGUGUUUGGGCUGCAAGAUAAAUUCAAACUUCUUUUUUCUUGCUAAGAUUUGAACUUAAAAAUAGAAAUAUUAAGUCUUGGGCUCUUCAUGAAUGUUUUAGGCUUAUGUAUUAGCUUUCCAUC